AAACAUGUCUUUGCGGGUGUUUAUGUAAAGUCUAGCCUGCCCAAUGACGUAAAGUUUAAUGGCCGCGGUAUACUGACCGUGCGAAGGUAGCAUAAUAAUUAGUCUUUUAAUUGAAGGCUGGAAUGAAAGGUUGAACAAAGAGUUAACUGUCUCUGGGUUAAAUUUUGAAUUUAACAUUUAAGUGAAAAGGCUUAAAUAUUUUAGGGGGACGAUAAGACCCUAUAAAUCUUUAUAUUUAAGCUUAUAAAAUAAACGAUUAAAAUAAUUUUUGUUUAAUAAGCUUAUAUAUUUUGUUGGGGCGACAGAAGUAUAAAAUGUAACUGCUUUAAAAUAAUAGUUAAAUGAUAUUUAGUUAAGUAAUCCUUUAAUAAAGAUGUUAGUUUAAGUUACUUUAGGGAUAACAGCGUAAUUUUUUUUGAGAGUCCAUAUCGAAAAAAAAGUUUGCGACCUCGAUGUUGAAUUAAAGAUCCUUUACGGUGCAGAAGUCGUAAAAGGGGGUCUGUUCGAC
rnacentral:rRNA from 1 species